rnacentral:rRNA from 1 species
GACAGAGGAUGCAAGCGUUAUCCGGAAUGAUUGGGCGUAAAGCGUCUGUAGGUGGCUUUUCAAGUCCGCCGUCAAAUCCCAGGGCUCAGCCCUGGACAGGCGGUGGAAACUACCAAGCUGGAGUACGGUAGGGGCAGAGGGAAUUUCCGGUGGAGCGGUGAAAUGCAUUGAGAUCGGAAGGAACGCCCGUGGCGAAAGCGAGGUCCUGGACUCCUACUGACGUUGAGGCGCGAAAGCCAGGGGAGCGAACGGG